rnacentral:lncRNA from 1 species
UUUUUUUUUUUUUUUUUUUUUUUUUUUUGCUAGAAACAAACUUCCUAGCUCAGCUGCCCUGUAAAAUGCUUACCCCACUGGCCUGUUGGCACUGGCAAUGGCAUCCUAUUAACUGAAAGAUGACCAGGUAGAGAACUUUUAUCUGCAGAAUGAGGCAGCAGCAGCAGCUCCCUGCCACCUGGCUUCUUCAAGUGCUGUUUUACUGUGUACUCUAUUUUACACAGGAAGAAGAAUAACACAGCAGAGACCUGAGUUCAGUGGGUUUGUAACGUGGUUUCUAUAGUUCUUUAAUAACAUAUAAAAAUACAGGUGAAGGGAGCUUCCUCUGGACAGUGUCAUCUGGAUACAUCUCAGUGAAUGCCUGUCACCCUGUGCUUUCUCCUAGAGGAAACAAUAUCAGACUGGUACUUCCCAGUAAUUUGAGAAUAUAAAAACUUCCUUUUCAAUAGCUGCAAGAGAAAUGUGGGCUACUCAAAAGGGAGAAAGGGUUAAAAGAGAUGUUUCCUGAUCAACUCCCUCCAACCUUCCUUACCCUCAGUUGUGCCAAAUUGGUCUUAUGUGCAUCUUUGUCAAAAGCAGGAAGAAUCUUAUUUUUAUUGUCAUUUGUGUGUUGGUGACAUAACCAAACAAACCAAAGUGUUUGGGAUCAGAAGGAAGAGGAUGACUUUGCAAAGUAUUUUCCUUGUAAGUGUGGCUUGGUUUUCACACAUGAUGGUAGAAAAUACUGGCUGACAGACACAGAGCUGUGACCAGACAAGUGCUGAGAAAGGCACCUUUGGGACAGAUGUUGUGCAAGGUCCUGCAGCUGGUACAACCCCCAGCCCCACGAACUCUGUGCCCUGGAGUGAGAGCCCCAGCCCUGUUCUGGCUGUGCAGGUGUGGGUGAGGAGCUGCCCAGCACCUCAGCCUGCCCUGGGACACACUCUGCCCUUUCCUUGCUGCAGCCUGGGUUCCUCUGGCAAGUAAGAGCUCUGUUCUCUGUUCUUUCUUCAUUUUGUCUUUGUAGAGGGAAGGUUUGCUGAAGGUCCAUCCUGGUGUGUGCUGGUGGAAAAAAGUGUGGAAAAGCCCAGGUGGUGUCUGCUCCAUUGCUGGCAUUUGCAGUACUUGCUGCAGGAACAGGGGCUCCUUGCUUUUCCUCUGCUGGGGCAGGGCUGAGCUCGGGGAAAACAAAGGCUCAGGCAGCAGCGCCAGGCUCAGGCAGCAAACCUGUUUUGUUAAAGUCAAGGUCUCCAUGCUUGAUUAAACCCUCCAGCAGCAGGCUGUGGAGAUCUAAGUGUUUGCCAAGGGCUUUGACACAGGAAGCUCUGGAAGGUCUUUUCUGUGUGGUGGUCCUUUGUGUUAAGCACAAAUUGUUUGUGCUUGGUGACCCUGCACACCAAAAACUGAUGAUGAGCUUGAGCUGAGAGUUUUCCAGCUCUCACACCGUUGGGCGCUGUGCAAGUGCAAAGCAAAAGAAGGGCUUGAUCUCCAGGGAUUGUAAACAUAAAUAAAGGGGUGCUGGAAGGUGAAACAAGGGAAAUUAUUUACCUAAAGGUACAGGAGAGAGCUUCCAGCUUUCUUCAUUUUCCCUUUUACUGUUUAUCCCCAGACUGUGCUGCUUCUUCAGGAGUCAGCCUGGAUGGGCACCUUUGGAGCUGUGUCCACGUAUUAUGCUGGUGAAAGGGUGGCUCUCAUCACUUCUUACACUCUUAGAAAGAGUAUUAAAAAAUGGAAAUGUACUUAGGGUGAGUUUUGGGGUAUCAGAGAAGAGGGAAGUUGGAGAUCAGGGCCCAACUUCUCCACUUGCUGUGCAGUACAAGCUGCAUGCCUUUAGAUUGAGGGGCUGGCAUGGUCUGUCCCAGAUCAGGGAAAAAAACAAUCCCAUCCCCAAAAGGGAGCAAGCACUAACCUAAUAAAGGCACCAGCUGGACGAAGGGAAAACCAUCUCUUUGGAGAAAAAAAAAAACCAAAACCCAACCUCCUUUCUUUAGAAAAAUAAUAUAUUUCAUCCAAAUAAGGUAAAAAUAUUUGAAAUGGGGCAGAAGUGAGCACUAGGCAGCAUCUGUCAGGCCCUUUCUGAAAUGGGGAAGAUUAUUAAAACUCAAUUACAAUUUAUUUCUGUAAAGUGUCUUUCAGGCUAAAAAUCUCCCCGAAUGCUUUGCAAGGACUGCUCAGGGAUUACUUACAGUAUGGAGCCUCCUGAACAACACCCUGUUUUUUUACCAGGCCCCCCUUUUCUGCAUCUGCUGAAGGAAUUCAUCCUUCAGAGUUCUAUUUUGCUUCUUCUAUGUUUGUGCAAGUAAUGAGAGAUGUUUUAUGAUGCUGGCUGCAAGAACAGCCUGAAGAGGAAUAGGAGAGUGACACUGUAUUUUUAUUGGUUUAGGUAGAAUAUUUGCUUUUCUUUGGGACUGUGUCUCCUGUGUGAGGAGGCGAUUGGCUGGGUAGGGCUGAUUCAGAGGAUUGAGAAGUACAACUGGCUUGUUUGUUGCCUAUUUUUCUUUCUCUGGCUGUCACUUUGCUAGGCUGCUUGCCUGUGUCUCAGUCCCUUUGCUUGGCAAAGCUGUUCUGUGCAGCAUCCUGCUCGUGUCCACCUUUCCCCUUCCCUCAUGUCCAUCUCCUCCUGCUCUUUCCUUUCCAACACUUCACAGACUGCUUCCAGCUUUGUACCUCUGCUUCUGGAGCUACUACUGGGGUUUUGUGUGUGCACAGCUAGAGUAACACCUGUCUAAAAUUAAUUUAUUUAACUGAUUUAAUUAAACCAGAGCAAAUUCUGGGCUGGACAUUCUUCCAUCUCUUUGAGCAGAUUUGCUUUACUUAAGCUGUUUCAACUUUGUGCAUGCACCAAAAUGGGUGCUGCUCCUUUCCUGUAUAGACGAAUUAUUCCUCACUUUCUGCCCCCUGCACUGUCACCAGCAGGUUCCAUCUCUGCAGGCCUGCUGCUUACCUGCCUGAUUUUUUUGCAGUAAUAUCAACACUUCAUGCAGCAGGUUUUGGGUGUGAGAUGGAUCUUGGAACUCCCUCUUGCUUCACAGUCUCUUCUGUUUGCUAGAACAAGUCUGGUGCAGCCUCAAAUUGGAAAAUCCCCCAGCUGCAUCUCUUUCUUGCCUCCUUUUCCCCCCCAACUCUAAAAACUGCAGGCAGAACCUGCUAAUCUGUGUGGGGAAAUGGGGAAGUGUGGGGAAUGCCCCUGGCAGUGGGUGUCCCCCCUUGUGCUGCGUGGAGGGGACGUGGAGGGGCUGCAGCCGUGCCAGCCCCUGCACAGAGCUGUGUGAGGGCACAGCAGGGACAUUGGUGCUGGACCUGUGCUUGUGGGUGCCCUUCCCCAGAGGUGACCUGCAGGGACAGCACGUGCCUCUGCAUGAAGGCGCUCGCUUCCCUCCGAGGGCAGAUGGGCUCUGGCCGCACACCAAGUGUCUCCCUUGUGCCCAGUUCAGUGCCACUGCAGAGCUCUGGCGUGCAGGCAGAGCCUGGCCAUGGCCUGGCAUCCCAGGAGGGUCCCUGGGGCUCAGGGCAGGGGCUGCUGGCUGCCACUGCCCUGUGGGGAGGGAGGGAAGGGGGCAGGAACAGCUCUGUCAGCCUGUCAGAUAAAUCUUCAGCUGUUUACUUAAAUCCUCAGUGUUUCUUCAUUUGUUUGUUUAAGAGUUUUCCUGCCAAAAAAGAGCAAAAGGAGGAAGGGAAGCUGCCUCCAUUGGCCACCCUUCCUCAGCUAGGAUGGGCCUGGGGCAGUUCACGGGCGAGAGCAGGACUGGGGCGAGGACACCCUGCCUUGCUCGGGGAAGAUGAAGGGAUCUGCUUCAGCUUGGACCAUGUUCCAUCUCCUGAGCAAUGCCUGACCCUGCGAGGGAAGUGUCUGAGGGACUCCAGUGAGCCCAGCCCUUCACCCAGGGCUGGCAUGAAGAACUUGUCAUCCCUUCCAGCACCUCCUUUACCUACAAAUGCUCACUGCCUUUUUUCCCCUCACAGGGAGGAAUUGGUUUUUGGAAUUGUGCUUUGCAGGUAGUAAUUGCAGGUUUUGUCAGCUUUCAGGUACUGGUGGAAUCUGUUCAUGGCAGCAGAGACCCCAAAGGUGAGGGCUGGAGCCUGAGUGAUGGAUUUCCAUGUGGCUGUCUGACACAGGGGACUCAAAGACUAUUACAGGGAUACACUUGAGGUAUCAAAGUACAAUAGCAGCAGCAACUGCCCCGUUUUUGUCUUGACAUUUAAACAAGUGACCUUGCCUGGUGUCUGCUGCUUCCCAGGGCUCACCAGGUGCAGGGUGGUGGAUGCAGGGCUGUGGGUGCAGGGUUGUGGUGCAAGACUGCACUCUCACCACCUGCAAGGGCUUGGAACAAAUGCAAUAGUGAGACUUUGAUUUGUUCAACUUGCAGCUUCUCCCACAGCUUAGUCAUUCUUUUAUGAAGUCCAGAGUCCCACUGAGAAAAAUCAGGUUCCAGAAAAGCUUUCCAGCAAUGAAUUGUGUUCGUGUCCCCUGUCCCCACCUGGAAACAAGGCCAUUUCAAUAGUCCAUGUGCUGUGGGCAGAGCUCCAGUGAGAACAAACCUCUGGGCUCCAGGGCUGGAUUAGGAGCAUGUUCAGAUAAUGACAUCUGAAAACAGGAUGGCAGGGAGCUGCAGCAGAGCAACGAGGGGGCUUUGAAAGAGAGAGGAGUCUAAUCCUCUCUGCUAAUAAGGAGGCAGCUGCUGCCAGUGCAUCAGGCUUGGCAGGCGCUGCUCGCUGCUCCUGGGUUCUCUGAGGAUGGCAGAGAGGCACAAGGACCACAGAGCUGCUUCCCUGUGCCUGGGGAAGAGCCACAGGGGAAGGGUAAAACAGGAACAUUCUGACGUGCAGGUACUGCACGGUGCCUGUCCUGCCCAGUCAUUCAACCACUCAAGCAAGAAGACAACUUGAUCACUUAAAACUUUGGGUUUUUUUUUUUCCAGUUUUUAUUGAGUGAAAAUGUCAAACCUUGCAUCAGUCAUGCAAAAAAAAAAAAAAAA